CCUACGGGAGGCAGCAGUAAGGAAUAUUGGGCAAUGGACGAAAGUCUGACCCAGCCAUGCCGCGUGAAGGAUGAAGGUCCUCUGGAUUGUAAACUUCUUUUAUCUGGGGCGAAAAUCACCCUUUCUAGGGUGCUUGACAGUACCAGAAGAAUAAGCACCGGCUAACUCCGUGCCAGCAGCCGCGGUAAUACGGAGGGUGCAAGCGUUAUCCGGAUUUACUGGGUAUAAAGGGUGCGUAGGCGGGCAGGUAAGUCAGUGGUGAAAUCCCCGAGCUUAACUCGGGAACUGCCGUUGAUACUAUCUGUCUUGAAUAUCGUGGAGGUAAGCGGAAUAUGUCAUGUAGCGGUGAAAUGCUUAGAUAUGACAUAGAACACCAAUUGCGAAGGCAGCUUGCUACACGGUCAUUGACGCUGAGGCACGAAAGCGUGGGGAUCAAACAGGAUUAGAUACCCUGGUAGUCCACGCCCUAAACGAUGAUUACUCGACAUCAGCGAUACACUGUUGGUGUCUAAGCUAACGCAUUAAGUAAUCCACCUGGGAAGUACGAUCGCAAGAUUGAAACUCAAAGGAAUUGACGG
rnacentral:rRNA from 1 species